GGACAAACCCACCCGAGUCACUCUACUGCUGUUUCCUGUGUCCACAUGGUAAACUCUCAGCUUCUGGCCAAAGACCUUGGUGGACCCUGCUGACUUGCUCACUACUGGCAAGCAAAGUGUUCACUGAUGAAUGAACAAUUACAUUUACCCACAGACUGAAAUAUGAUGUUAUUUUGUUUUGACUGAAAUUCCAACUCACUGUGAGAAUACUGUGAAAAAAAUCAUGAGAAGUAUCCUCAUAGGUGAGUCUUUUCACACAUCUGCACUAGUGAAUAUCUGAAUUUUAAAAGCCACUCCAGACCUACAUAGGUGAUGAACGAUGUGUACUUGAAAACAGUACACUCUUGCACAGCUGUCCCUGGAGCUUCCCCGUGGAGCUGUUAAACUUGCCCUCCGCUGGCUGUUUUCCACAAAGUAAUAUGGUUACAUAGAUUCACGGCUCAUGGCAAUGUUUCAUUAAGACAGUUCUUGAUGGCCGCUCCACACCUUUCUCACCACAUCUCACAGGCUGCCCUGCUGAGCCAGGUCUCCCUGGAACCCGGGGCUCCUGCGCAGGCCCCCAUUUUGCUCCAGAACACCCAGGAAGGCGGGGCUUGGGCUGGAAUGGGGACACCGAUUACCCUCUGUUCAGGCCUUUGGUGCCAGCUGAGGUCGAUACUGGUGCCAGGAUCGAGACUGUGCGCAUCCCAUCGAGAGCGGGCAGAUGUGGGGGCGCACUGGACCGGGCCUCCCAGGCUGACACCCAUUCACAGCAGCCUGAGCCUAAUCCGCCACUGCUCGCCUUCCUCCGACGUCUCCACCUAAACCAUCCUUCUGCACAUUGUGACCCAUCACUCCGCCCUUUGUCCACACAUCUCCUUCCCCACACCCACAACGCGGUGGUCCCUGCCCCACAAUGCAACGGAAACCUUGCGGAGUGCUAGGCGGAAGCUGCGAGGCCUGUGUAGACACUGCCUCCGCAGGGCUGGCGCACUCCUCCGAGGGCCGACUGAGGGGUGGGUUUUUUAAGUUGCAAAAUAAAAGUUAUCGCCUGUGGGCCCUGAAGGCCUCUUUUCCACUGGA
rnacentral:lncRNA from 1 species